GGCUGCAGUCAUAUAAUCCAGCAGCUCAAGACUGGUUACUCAAUGAAGUUAAGCGGGACUGAGCCUGGUCAGUAUCUGGAUGGGAGACCACAUGGGAAAACUAGGUUGCUGUUGGAG
rnacentral:rRNA from 1 species